rnacentral:rRNA from 1 species
GAUGAACGCUAGCGGGAGGCUUAACACAUGCAAGUCGAGGGGCAGCACUGAUAGCAAUAUUAGGUGGCGACCGGCGGACGGGUGAGUAACGCGUAUGCAACCUACCCUUUACAGGGGGAUAGCCCGGAGAAAUUCGGAUUAAUACCCCAUAGAUCAGUGAUUCUGCAUGGGAUUACUGGUAAAGCUUCGGCGGUAAAGGAUGGGCAUGCGUCCCAUUAGCUAGUUGGUAGGGUAACGGCCUACCAAGGCAACGAUGGGUACGGGGUCUUAAAGGAUGGACCCGCACACUGGCACUGAGACACGGGCCAGACUCCUACGGGAGGCAGCAGUGAGGAAUAUUGGUCAAUGGGGGGAACCCUGAACCAGCCAUCCCGCGUGCAGGAAGACAGUUCUAUGGAUUGUAAACUGCUUUUCUUGGGGAAGAAUAAUGACGACGUGUCGUCAGAUGACGGUACCCGAGGAAUAAGCAUCGGCUAACUCCGUGCCAGCAGCCGCGGUAAU